rnacentral:other from 1 species
UUUCCCCUGCGGUGUUUGUUAAGGCUUUAAACUCUUUGAACCAAUAGUAUCUGUCUGGUUGCCGAUUCAGUAAGCGCCGGUGUGCGCGUCCCUAGGGAAGCGCCUGAUGGGCUCGAAAGGUGACCACCUUGAACCCUAGGUUCAAGAUACGAGUCUGACGGCACAGGCGGGGGAUCA